rnacentral:rRNA from 1 species
GUGAGGAAUUUUCCGCAAUGGGCGAAAGCCUGACGGAGCAAUGCCGCGUGAAGGAUGAAGGCCUAUGGGUUGUAAACUUCUUUUCUUAGAGAAGAAUAUUGACGGUAUCUGAGGAAUAAGCAUCGGCUAACUCUGUGCCAGCAGCCGAGGUAAGACAGAGGAUGCAAGCGUUAUCCGGAAUGAUUGGGCGUAAAGCGUCUGUAGGUGGCUUCAACAGUCUCCUGUCAAAGAUCAGGGCUUAACCCUGGGACGGCAGGCGAAACUCUGAGGCUAGAGUUUGGUAGGGGCAGAGGGAAUUCCCGGUGGAGCGGUGAAAUGCGUAGAGAUCGGGAGGAACACCAAAGGCGAAAGCACUCUGCUGGGCCACAACUGACACUGAGAGACGAAAGCGAGGGGAGCAAAAGGGAUUAGAAACCCUGGUAGUCC